rnacentral:rRNA from 1 species
CCUACGGGAGGCAGCAGUGAGGAAUAUUGGUCAAUGGGCGCGAGUCUGAACCAGCCAAGUAGCGUGAAGGAUGACUGCCCUAUGGGUUGUAAACUUCUUUUAUAAAGGAAUAAAGUGAGGCACGUGUGCCUUUUUGCAUGUACUUUAUGAAUAAGGAUCGGCUAACUCCGUGCCAGCAGCCGCGGUAAUACGGAGGAUCCGAGCGUUAUCCGGAUUUAUUGGGUUUAAAGGGAGCGUAGAUGGGUUGUUAAGUCAGUUGUGAAAGUUUGCGGCUCAACCGUAAAAUUGCAAUUGAUACUGGCAGCCUUGAGUACAGUUGAGGUAGGCGGAAUUCGUGGUGUAGCGGUGAAAUGCUUAGAUAUCACGAAGAACCCCGAUUGCGAAGGCAGCUUACUAAACUGUGACUGACAUUGAUGCUCGAAAGUGUGGGUAUCAAACAGGAUUAGAGACCCGUGUAGUC